rnacentral:rRNA from 1 species
AGCGAACGCUGGCGGCAGGCCUAACACAUGCAAGUCGAGCGGGCACCGCAAGGUGUCAGCGGCAGACGGGAGAGUAACACGUGGGAACGUGCCUUUAGGUUCGGAAUAACUCAGGGAGACUUGUGCUAAUACCGAAUGUGCCCUUCGGGGGAAAGAUUUAUCGCCUUUAGAGCGGCCCGCGUCUGAUUAGCUAGUUGGUGAGGUAAUGGCUCACCAAGGCUACGAUCAGUAGCUGGUCUGAGAGGAUGACCAGCCACAUUGGGACUGAGACACGGCCCAAACUCCUACGGGAGGCAGCAGUGGGGAAUCUUGCGCAAUGGGCGAAAGCCUGACGCAGCCAUGCCGCGUGGAUGAUGAAGGUCUUAGGAUUGUAAAAUCCUUUCACCGGUGAAGAUAAUGACUGUAGCCGGAGAAGAAGCCCCGGCUAACUUCGUGCCAGCAGCCGCGGUAACAC